GCUCUAGUAAAAUCAAAUGAAUAAAAAUCCUUCUCUGUUCCUAUUCAGAUCUCUAGCAGUUCAGGUGAUUUACUACAGUUAGCCUUCAGUACUCAGAUCCUGACCAACCAUAAACAUCAGCUGUCAGCUGACAACAUCACCACAGCAGCUCAGAUCGCUAACACACUGCUUAAGUCUGCAAAUAUCACAGAGGACAUCGCAUUGGCAGCUAUAACUACCAUCAGUCAGCUGCUGAAUGCCAGUGAGGAGAGUACACAGGAGAGAGACGCUGUCCAGAGUUGCUGGCUUGCUGCCCUCGAUCCAAAGGGGAACUUUGAUUUCAAGCUGCCAAUGUUUUGGGGGUUCCUGAUACCUGUGGCCUCUGGGGGACAUGCUGGACAUCCUGGGGGACAUGCUGGACAUGUUGGACAUCCUGGGGGACAUGCUGGACAUGUUGGACAUGCUGGGGGACAUGCUG